rnacentral:rRNA from 1 species
AGACGGAAAGACCCCGUGAACCUUUACUAUAGCUUGACACUGAACAUUGAGCCUUGAUGUGUAGGAUAGGUGGGAGGCUUUGAAGCGUGGACGCCAGUCUGCGUGGAGCCGACCUUGAAAUACCACCCUUUAAUGUUUGAUGUUCUAACGUGGACCCGUAAUCCGGGUUGCGGACAGUGUCUGGUGGGUAGUUUGACUGGGGCGGUCUCCUCCUAAAGAGUAACGGAGGAGCACGAAGGUUGGCUAAUCCUGGUCGGACAUCAGGAGGUUAGUGCAAUGGCAUAAGCCAGCUUGACUGCGAGCGUGACGGCGCGAGCAGGUGCGAAAGCAGGUCAUAGUGAUCCGGUGGUUCUGAAUGGAAGGGCCAUCGCUCAACGGAUAAAAGGUACUCCGGGGAUAACAGGCUGAUACCGCCCAAGAGUUCAUAUCGACGGCGGUGUUUGGCACCUCGAUGUCGGCUCAUCACAUCCUGGGGCUGAAGUAGGUCCCAAGGGUAUGGCUGUUCGCCAUUUAAAGUGGUACGCGAGCUGGGUUUAGAACGUCGUGAGACAGUUCGGUCCCUAUCUGCCGUGGGCGCUGGAGAACUGAGGGGGGCUGCUCCUAGUACGAGAGGACCGGAGUGGACGCAUCACUGGUGUUCGGGUUGUCAUGCCAAUGGCACUGCCCGGUAGCUAAAUGCGGAAGAGAUAAGUGCUGAAAGCAUCUAAGCACGAAACUUGCCCCGAGAUGAGUUCUCCCUGAGACUUAGAGUCUCCUGAAGGAACGUUGAAGACGACGACGUUGAUAGGCCGGGUGUGUAAGCGCAGCGAUGCGUUGAGCUAACCGGUACUAAUGAACCGUGAGGCUUAACCUUACAACGCCGAAG